AUACGUAGGGGGCGAGCGUUGUCCAGAAUGACUGGGCGUAAAGGGCGUGUAGGCGGCUUUAUAAGUCUGGAGUGAAAGUCCUGCUUUCAAGGUGGGAAUUGCUUUGGAGACUGUAGAGCUUGAGUGCGGAAGAGGUAAGUGGAAUUCCCAGUGUAGCGGUGAAAUGCGUAGAGAUUGGGAGGAACACCAGUGGCGAAGGCGACUUACUGGGCCGUAACUGACGCUGAGGCGCGAAAGCGUGGGGAGCGAACAGGAUUAGAUACCCUGGUAGUCCACGCUGUAAACGAUGAAUGCUAGGUGUAGCGGGUAUCGACCCCUGCUGUGCCGCAGUAAACACAAUAAGCAUUCCGCCUGGGGAGUACGGCCGCAAGGUUGAAACUCAAAUGAAUUGGCGGGG
rnacentral:rRNA from 1 species